CCUACGGGUGGCAGCAGUGGGGAAUAUUGCACAAUGGGGGAAACCCUGAUGCAGCAACGCCGCGUGAGUGAAGAAGUAUUUCGGUAUGUAAAGCUCUAUCAGCAGGGAAGAGGAAAGACGGUUCCCUACUAAGAAACCCCGGCUAACUACGGUCCAGCAGCCGCGGUAAUACGUAGGGUGGAAGCCUUAGCCGGAUUUACUGGGGGUAAAGGGGGCGUAGACGGGUGGGCAAGUCUGAAGUGAAAGCCCGUGGCUCAACCGCGGAACUGCUUUGGAAACUGUUUAGCUUGAGUACUGGGGAGGCAGGCGGAAUUCCUAGUGUAGCGGUGAAAUGCGUAGAUAUUAGGAGGAACACCAGUGGCGAAGGCGGCCUGCUGGACGGAAACUGACGUUGAGGCUCGAAAGCGUGGGGAGCAAACAGGAUUAGAUACCCUUGUAGUC
rnacentral:rRNA from 1 species